UUGAGACCAUUCUGAGCAUAACACUUCUUUAGGAAUUUUUCCAAGGACACCUUCAGAAAUUCCUCCAGGAAAUUUUUUUCUUUAAACCACCAGCAAAUCUUCCAGAGAAACAUCCUGGAAUUCCUCCGGAAUUUCUUUACGAAAUUUCUCACCUCCGAUAACUCCUCUAGGGAUUCCUUCAGUAAUUUCUCUAAAGCUUUCCUCCCGGUCUACCUCAGGACUUUCUCCAGAGUUUCCUCCAGAGAUUCCUCCAAAAAUCCCUCCAAGAAUUCCUUCAAAGAUUCCUCCAGAAAUUUCUCUAGGGAUUCUCCAAGGAAUUGCUCAAGCAAUCCCUCCAGAAAUUCCUUCAAAAUUCCUGGAGAAUUUCUUCAAGCAUUCCUCCAGGAAUUUCUUCAAGGAUCCCUCCAGAAAAUUCCUUCAGGCAUUCCUCCAGAAAAUUCCUUCAAGGAUUCCUCCAGAAAAAUCCUUCAAGAAUUCUUCCAGAAACUCCUUCAAGGAUUCUUUUAGGGAUUACUUCAAGGAUUCCUCUAGGAAUUCCUUCAAGCAUUCCUCCAGGAAUUUCUUCAAGGAUCCCUCCAGAAAAUUCCUCCAGGGAUUCCUCCAGAAAAUUCCUUCAAAUAUUCCUCCAGAAAUUCCGUCAAGGAGUCCUCCCGGAUUUUCUUCAAAGAUUCCUCCAGAAACUUCUUCAAGGAUUCUUCCAGGGAUUCCUUCAAGGAUUCCUCCAGAAAAUUCCUUCAAGGAUUCCUCCAGCAAGUUCAUUCAAGGUAUACUCCAGAAAUUCCUUCGAUAAUUCCUCCAGGGAUUCCUUCAAGGAUUCCUCCAGGAAUUCCUUUGAGGAGAUUGCUCCAGGAAUUCCUUCAAAGAGAUUCCUCCAGAAAUUCCUUCACGGAUCUCUCCAGAACAUUCCUUCAGGGAUUCCUCCAGAAAAUUCCUUCAAGGAUUUCUCCAGAAAGCUCCUUCAAGGUAUACUCCAUAAAUUCUGUCAAGGAUCACUCCUGGAAUUCCUCCAGAAACUUCUUCAAGGAUUCCUGCAAAAAAAUCCUUCAGGGAUUCCUUCAGAAAAUUCCUUCAAGGAUUCCUCCAGAAAGAUCCUUCAAGGUAUACUCCAGAAAUUCUUUCAAUGAUUCUUCCAGGGAUUCCUUCAAGGAUUCCUCCAGAAAGUUCCUUCAAGCAUUCCUCAGGAAAUUCCUUCAGGAAAUUCCUUCAGGGAUUCCUCCAGGAAUUCCUCCAAGCAUUCCUCCAGGAAUGCCUUCAAGGAGAUUACUUCAGGAAUUCCUUCAAGGAUCCCUCCAGAAAAUUUCUAAAGGAAUCCCUGGAGAAUUUCUUGGAUGAAUCUCUGGAGGAAUUCCUGGAGGAACUCUUAGAGGAAUUCUUGGAGGAUUUCUUUUUGAGGAAUUCUUGAAGGAGUUCCUGAAGGAAUCCUUGGAGGAAUUUCUGGAAGAAUCCUUGGAGGAAAUUUUGAAGGGUUUCUUAAAACAAUGCCUGGACAAUUUCUGGGAGGUACUCUGGAGGGAAUUCUUGGAGGAAUCCUUGGAAAAAUUCCUGAAGGAAUCCCUGGAAGAUUUUUUUUGGAGGAAUCUCUGCAGGAGUAUCUGAAUUAAUCCCUGAAAGAAUUCUUGGAGGAAUCCAUGAAGGAAUUCCUCAAGGAAUCUUUAGAGAAACUUCUUGAGGAAUCUCUGGAGAAAUUCCUGGAGGAACUCCUGCAGGAAUCUCUGGAGAAACGUCUUUAAGAAUUCCUGAAAGAAUCCCCGGAGGAAUUUCUGGAGGAAUCCCGUGAGGAAUGCCUGAAGGAAUCUCUGGAGGAAUUCCUGGAGGAUUUCUGGGGAGUACUGUGGAGAAAUUCUUGGAGGAAUCCUUGACAAAAUUCCUUGAGAAAUUUAUGGAGGAAUGUCUGCAGGAAUCUCUUAAGGAACCCCUGGAGGAGUUCUUGGAGAAAUUCGUGAAGGAAUCCUUGGAGGAAUUCCUGGAGGAAUCCCUGAAAAAAAGUCUGUGAGAAUUUCUGGGGGUAUCUUUGGAGGAAUUCCUGGAGGAUUUCCUGUAGGAAUCCCGGGAAGAAUUCUCGGAGGUACAGGGGAUGGCCAAAAUGUUUGGGAUAGGCAACUUUUUUUUCUCUCACAAAAAGUUGAACAUGCUAUAACUUUUCAAAGAGCGCAUAAAAAAAUCUCAAAUUUUGACUGUUUGUCAACCUAUUAUAUGUGCAUCAUUGGUAUAAAUUUGAGCUCGAUUGAUUAAUCUUUCGCAAAGUUAGAACCAUUUGCGUAAAACACUAUUUUUCAGACAACUCAUUUUUGAGCUGUCAUAACCAGUGAACCGAAUUGAAUGAAAUAACAAUAUGUAAAUUCUUCACAAACUAUUAAAACAUAGGUACUUUUUAAACGUUGAAAAAAGUUAUCAUGGAUUGACACUUUUUGGAUUUUUCUCGAAAAAAAUGUAAUUUUUUCACAUCAAUGUCAAUGAAUGUUAGUGUUGAUAUCCAAAGAUUUUCCACUUCUGUUCUCAAAUUAUCUCAAAUCAGAUAUAUUAAAGCCUAUUUAGAUUGAAGGAAGAAAACAUUUAAUAAUUUUUGUGUGGUAUUGUAAAUUUGACUUAUUAUCCUCUAUAUGGGUAAAAAUUUCAACCCGGUAUAACUUAAUUCGCCGGGAGAAAAUAUUACAUUUCAUAACGUCGUAUUAAGUAUCAAAAUAUUGUUAAGAAACGUUUAAAAAUUCAUUCAAUUCGGUUCACUGGUUUCCGAGAUAUGACAGCUCAAAAAUGAGUUGUCUGAAAAAUAGUGUUUUACGCGAACGGUUCUAACUUUGCGAAAGAUUAAUCAAUCGAGCUCAAAUAUGUACCAAUGAUGCACAUAUAAUAGGUUGACAAACAGUCAAAAUUUUAGAUUUUUUGAUGAACUCUAUGAAAAAUUACAGCAUGUUGAAUUUUUUUGUGGGAGAAAAAAAGUUGCCUAUCCCAAACAUUUUGGCCAUCCCCUGUAUCUCUGGAUGAAUCCUUGGAGAAAUUCCUGUAGGAACCUGUGGAGGAUUUCUUGGAGGAAUCCUUGGAGGAAUUCUUAAAGGGAUUCUUGGAGAACUCCUAAAGGAAUUCCUGAAAAAAUCCUUGGAGGAAUUCCUGGAAGAUUCACAGGAGCAAUUAUUGAAAGAAUCCCUGGAGGAUUUCCGGGAGGUGCUCUGGAAAAAUUCCUGGAGGUAUUCUUGGUGCAAUUCCUGAAGGAAUCCUUGGAAAAAUCCCUGGACGAAUUGUUGGAGGAAUCUAUGCAGGAAUCUCUGAAAAAAUCCCUGAAGGAAUUCGUGAAGGAGUUCCUGAAGGAAUCCUUGGAGAAAUUCCUGCAGGAAUCCCUAGAGGAAUUCCCGGAGGAAUUCCUGGAGAAAUUCCUGGAGGAAUCCCAUGUGGAAUCUCUGAAGGAAUCCCUGGGAAAAUGUCUGUGAGAAUUCCUGGGGGUAUAUUUGGAGGAAUUUCUGGAGGAAUUCCUGAAGGAAUCCCUGGAGGAUUUGCGGAGGAAUUAUUGGAAGAAUCUCCGGAGAAACUCCUGGAGGAAUUCUUGGAGGUAUUCAUGAAGGAAUUCCUGGAGCAUUCCUUGGAGGAAGUUGUUUGUUAAAUAAUAAUAUUUAGUUAUUUCCCUAAGAUAUCUACGCGUACUUUCCAUAAGCUUGUGAGAUAUUUGAUUUGAGAAAAAUAUGGUAACACAACAAUAGAGAACAGAUGCUUAAAAAAAGCUAAAAUGGAACCACCGAUAAUUGCCACAUUUAAUACAUAAAUUUCCUUAGCUUAAUUUUUGAGAAAAAAAUGAGAAAACUACAACAAGUAUUUGCAACGAAAUCUGGAAACAUCAGCAAAACAAAUGAACGACCCGUUUUACUGAAGAUUUGGACCAGUUGUGUUCUUCUGCAAAAUUAGAAAUACCUUUGGUUUCAGGUAAAAUUAUCAUGAUAAACCUUAAGUUCACAUUACUAAAGAUAAAUUGUCUUUUGCAGAUCCACAAGGCUGAGGAAUGGAACAAAAAUCCCAUCGGUAAAGGCCAUGUUUUCCGCCUUCAUGCAACAAGAGAAAAACACAGCUUUCGGUAUUGCAAUAGGACUAUUAAUAACACAAAAUAAA